CGAAGGAUGAAGUGUUUGCACGACGACCCCGAGGCUAUCACCAAACAAACGAGCUUAUAAAAUCACUGAUUGGUCGACGGCGUUCGGCUUAACUAUAUUGGUUGCUAUUGAAGAAUUAAAAUCAUUUUCUUCGACAUUUAUGCGUUCCUGGAUGCAGUUUUGAAGUAACUCUGGACGCCGCUCACCUUGAAGACUUCCGUGGCCCACGUGCGGAACGACUCCUCCUGGCCACAGAGCUCAUCACCCUCCGCGAUCUCGUUGAUCCGCUCGGCGCCGAGAUUAGCGAACAUCUUGUCCAGGUAGUGUGCGAACGCGCAGAAGUUGGGAUAGGCACUGGAGCCCAGCCCGAACACCGAGAACCUAUGGGUAAAGGGGGAUAAUUAUUAAAGCGGACCAGUCUCCAGUGUGAGGUUGUCCUCAAGCGACUUGAAUGUGUCAUCUGACGCUUCACUCCCGGCGUCAAUUAUCUCUAUAUCGUGCGGCUCCGAGACGCUAAGUCGCAGGUGGGUCUCCAUUUCCGAACGUGCUCGUGACAAUCAGCACGAGCGCCUCAUGCUCGAGUUCUGUGACGUCAUAGUCAUCCAUACAGCACACCUGGAAAAAAGUGGUUAUUUCGUCUAUUCAUUGUACAAACAUGUAACAUUUGUAGCAAAAAUAUCAUCUAAGGAAUUCGUUGGUUCUUAAACAAUUCUUGACGUUUUAAGGCUCGAACAUUUUUGACGGUCAAAAUAAUUCAACAAAAACAAACUAUGUUGCCUUGAACUUAGUUCGACUAAUUGGAUGCACAUUUGGAAUGUAUUUACGAUAUAUCCGCAUG